ensembl:lncRNA
CGCCUGCCGACCCACCACUACUGAAGAUCAAUGACUGAACUACGAACCACACUGGAACAUGGUGGUAUACAAACAUCAAAGAACCUCCUCUCCCUCUGAUAAAUUGGAGCGAGACAAAGAGAGAGAAGGGGCUGCUCCAAAAGUAAUGCCUCCUACCUUAUUGUGUCAGCCCACGAUAUCAGAAGCAGAUGUUGGUGGCAUGGCAGUAGAGGCUGAACCUUCCUUCUAAUAUCUCAUUACAUUUUAUUGCUGUGUGAUGGAUGACAGCAGAGGGGCAGUGUGACAAAUUGAUGUUUGACACUGAAGAGUAUAUGAAGAAAAGGUGUAGUUGAAUCCCUCCAUGAGGGAAAAAUUACACCCACUGACAUUCAUCGAUGCUUGCUUAAUAUUUAUGGAGUCUAAUCUGUGAAUCUGAGCACAGUGAGGCAAUGGGUGGUGUGUUCCACCUGUGGUAACAGUGUUGUGAAAUACAGGCCAUGUUCCAGACUGCCAUGCAGAGCUGUCAUACCAUGAAAUAAAGAGUGUCUCAAUUAGGUCCUCUGCACAAAUUAGUGAACUGUGACAAGGGAACUGUGUAUGGAAUUGAAUAUCAGUUUCAUUGCAUUGGAAACAACACUGGCAACAUUGGAAUACCACAGUUUGUUCCUGGUGGGUCCCACAGAUUCUCAUACAGGCAAAGAAAGAUCACUGUAUGCAAGUUUUUCAGUACUGAUUGAACCAAUAUGUGGCCGAAGGUGACAGUUUCCUGGAUCCUCACUAGUGAUAAGAUGAAGAUGUUGCUGGACCACUACAAGCUGGAAUCAAAAUGACAGUCCAUGAAGUGAUGAUAUGUGAAUUCCCCAUCGAAUAAAAUGUUCAAAAUACAGCCCUCAGUGGGUAAAGUGACGUGCCCGUGGUGAUCCUUAUGGAUUUCCUGGAACCCAGAACAAACCAUCAACUCUGACUACUGCAUUACAACACUAACUGUGCUGAAAGCAUGAACUUCCAGAGUCAGGCCAGAGAGGAAGACAACCUUUCUAUGACAACACAGUAAUGAUAGGUUACAUACCAGUUUGAAGACUGUGAAGCACAUUGCCAGUCUUGGCUGAACUGUCAAGCACACCCAAAAUAUAGUUCAGAUAUGUCACCUUCUGUCUUCCAUCUGUUUGGACUGAUGAAAGAUGAACUCCAGGGACAAUAUUUUCCUAGUAAUUACGCAAUCAUAGCAGUUGUGAAACAGUGGAUCUACUCCACUUGUGCAGAUUUUUACAAGUGCAGCAUCCAGGUUCUUGUUCAUUGCUGAUAAAAAAUGCAUAAGUAACGGUGGUGACUAUUUUGAAAAAUAUAGUUUUGCAGCUCAGAAUUUUCUCUGUCAAACAGUGUUAUUGUGCUCUUUGUAUGUAUUGUAGUUUCCAGGGAAAUAAAUAGGAGGCAUUACUUUCAGUGUGAUACAUGCUGUUGACAUUUGCACA